GACAGAGGAGCCAAGCGUUGUCCGGAUUGACUGGGCGUAAAGCGCACGCAGGCGGCCGUGCACGUGGGGUGUGAAAGCGCUCGGCUUAACUGAGCGAUGCCACCUCAUACGGCAGGGAUCGAGCCCGUGAGAGGUCCACGGAAUUGCCGGUGUAGUGGUGAAAUGCGUAGAGAUCGGCAGGAACACCCAGGGGGAAACCAGUGGACUGGCACGGUGCUGACGCUCAGGUGCGAAAGCGUGGGGAGCGAACCGG
rnacentral:rRNA from 1 species